GGAGUGCUGGGAUUACAGGCCUGAGCCACUGCGCCUGGCCAUUCUUACUUAUCUCAGGCCAUAAAGUACAGGCCUGCGAUGGGGAUGGGAAAUUGCUCACACUCCAGAUUUUUCCUCCUUUGGCUCUCUCUCAAUCCCAAGUGAUCCUAUUGUUUGGUCAUAGUAGGCACUCAAUAUACACUUGUUUAAUCAAUUAAUUAACUAGUCAGGAUUCUUUAUGGAAAAUAAUAAGGUAAUUGCUAUUAUCUAGGAUGUUGUUCCAUAGCCCCAAAACCAUUACAAAAUAAAAUUGGGGUCAGCAGGUUCAAUAUUAGUCAUUCAGUCAAUAACUAAGUACUGACUGGUUGCCAGACCUUAUGCUAAGCACUGAGCAUACAGUGGUGAACAAGCCAGAUGUGGCUCUGACACUUUAAUAUCCCUCACCAACCUCUAGGCAUCAACAACCAGGUCAUCCUUCCAGGUGUCACCGAAAUGCCAGGCUAUUGCCCCUUCCUGCUGCCUGUCUCAACUGAAUGCUGUGCUGUGGCCACAUCAUACACAUGUUUUGAAGAGAAGAAUAUAGGACAAUGUUGCAAUUUUUCUAAAAAGAUGUCUGUCUAAGAUAAAUCAUGGAAAAGAAGACUUGUAGAAAUAUAGCUACAGUCAACCCAUUAAAUCAAGAACCUACCGACGGAGAACCUUUAGGAUAGCUAGACAUAAAGGUUCUCCAAGUCGCCACUAGACUCAGGAUCCCAGCUGGCUUCACCUAGUGGAUCCUGCACGGGGGCCACAGGCGGAGCUGCCCACCAGUCCUGCGCCAUGCACCCACACUCCUCAGCCCUUGGGCAGUCGAUGGGAUCGGGCGCUGCGGACCAGGGAGCGGCGCUCGUCGGGGAGGCUCGGGCCACACAGGAGCCCACGGCAGUGGGGGGAGGCUCGGGCAUGGCAGGCUGCAGGUCCCGAGCCCUGCCCCGUGAGGAGGAAGCUGAGGCCCGGCGAGAAUUCGAGCACAGCACCUGCGGGCCAGCACUACUGGGGGACCCACACACCCUCCACAGCUGCUGGCCCAGGUGCUAAACCCCUCCCUGCCCGGGGCCGGUCGCACUGGCCAGCUGCUCCGAGUGCAGGGCCCACUGAGCCCACGCCCACCCAGAACUCGCGCUGGCCC
rnacentral:lncRNA from 1 species